ensembl:lncRNA
AAAUGACUCAAAAUUUUCCCUAAUGGAGUCAAACUUGUCCAAACUGACUAAAAGUUGAAUACUUUCAGUAAAGACUUGAACAAACACAUGAAUAAAAACGAGUCGGACUCCGGAGUCGUUAUUUAGCUCUUUUUUUAAUUUUUUGUUGCCUUUUUUCAUCCUGAUGUGUUUUUUGCGAUGACGUUUCUAAUACAUGAUGCGUUUAAAUGAAGUGUCUCAGAAAAAGGUGCAAACAUCGGCGAACACAAAGAAACAUCCAGACAUUUCAAACAUGGCGGCUCCCCGUCGCUCCGCUAUGACAUCAUCAUCCAGCGACGGCGCCCCCUGCAGGACGCCGCCGCUCUGGUUUGGAUAAAGAAAGAGUUCCGCUGCAGAGAGACUUUUCUACGUUUCCUGAUGCUCAGAAGUUAAAAAAAAAAAAAAAAAAAAAAAAAAAAAGAACCGCUGCUGCCUUCAGGUGAACCUUUAACACCAGGAAAACUGUUUUUUUCCCACAGCGUGUGAACGCAGCGCCAGACUCUGAUUUAAAAACCUGAAUUUGGGAUAAAAUUCAGCCUCGUGGAGAAAAUAAAUCAAUAAAAUCCAAACGAUGUGUCCACAAAGACAAAUAAACAUUUCUAUGAACAGAUUUAAAGCUGCAAACAUGCAAAAGACUUUGAUUAUUUCUCAAAAAAACAGAACAAUUAAAUUUUCUUACGUCCUCAAACAUUUUCUACUCGACUACAAACUUGUUUUUGUUUAUGGAAGGCUGCUGAAAAAGAUUUUGUUUUUUAAAAUGUAAACAAAGCUUUUCUGAUUCAUUUAUUGUGUUGUUUAUUGAUUUACUCACAGAUUUAAUAGAAAAUUUAAAAACAAAAACUACUUUUAAAAAACUAAAAUUAAAUUAAUUAAAAAUAUAUAUAUAAAAAUCAUUUUGUCAUUUUAAUUAUUAUUGUGAUUUUUAAAUAUGUCUUACAUCAUCGGUAUUUUUUCUAAGUUUUCAUUCAGCUGAUUUAUUUUGAAUUUUUUUUUGUUUACAAAGAAAAAAAAUAAGAUGAAAAAAUGAAAAUCCACACAUUUUAAUAUAGAAAAAUUUAUUAAAAAUCAUCUUUUAAUUUUAAUUCUUACUAUGAUUUUUUCCUUUUUGUUUUUCAAAACUGUUUUAAUGUUUUACUUAAAUAUUUUUAAUAUCAAACAUUCCUAAUUCCUCAUUUUGAUGAUUUAUUUUGAAUUCUUUUGAUCUUAAGUCAAAAAUCAAGGAAAAAAUCAAAACAAAUAGGAAUUAAUCCGAAAAAUAUUUAAAUUAUAAGUAUUACUAUUGGUUUUACAUUUUCUUUUCAAAAUUGUUUAAUUUUUUCAGAAUUUCUACAUUAUUUAUAUUUUUUUUGAUUUAAAGACAAAAAAUUACAGAAAAUACUGAAAAAAAACACCAUUCAUGUAAUUUAAA